rnacentral:rRNA from 1 species
GAUGAACGCUGGCGGCGUGCCUAAUACAUGCAAGUCGAGCGAAUGGAUUAAGAGCUUGCUCUUAUGAAGUUAGCGGCGGACGGGUGAGUAACACGUGGGUAACCUGCCCAUAAGACUGGGAUAACUCCGGGAAACCGGGGCUAAUACCGGAUAACAUUUUGAACCGCAUGGUUCGAAAUUGAAAGGCGGCUUCGGCUGUCACUUAUGGAUGGACCCGCGUCGCAUUAGCUAGUUGGUGAGGUAACGGCUCACCAAGGCAACGAUGCGUAGCCGACCUGAGAGGGUGAUCGGCCACACUGGGACUGAGACACGGCCCAGACUCCUACGGGAGGCAGCAGUAGGGAAUCGUCCGCAAUGGACGAAAGUCUGACGGAGCAACGCCGCGUGAGUGAUGAAGGCUUUCGGGUCGUAAAACUCUGUUGUUAGGGAAGAACAAGUGCUAGUUGAAUAAGCUGACACCUUGACGGUACCUAACCAGAAAGCCACGGCUAACUACAUGCCAGCCGCCGCCGUAA